GAUGAACGCUGGCGGCGUGCUUAACACAUGCGAGUCGAACGAAGCAUUUGCGACAGAUUUUUUCGGAAUGAAGUUGCUUAUGACUGAGUGGCGGACGGGUGAGUAACGCGUGGGUAACCUGCCUUGUACUGGGGGAUAGCAGCUGGAAACGGCUGGUAAUACCGCAUAAGCGCACAAUGUUGCAUGACAUGGUGUGAAAAACUCCGGUGGUAUAAGAUGGACCCGCGUCUGAUUAGCUAGUUGGUGAGAUAACAGCCCACCAAGGCGACGAUCAGUAGCCGACCUGAGAGGGUGACCGGCCACAUUGGGACUGAGACACGGCCCAGACUCCUACGGGAGGCAGCAGUGGGGAAUAUUGCACAAUGGAGGAAACUCUGAUGCAGCGACGCCGCGUGAGUGAAGAAGUAAUUCGUUAUGUAAAGCUCUAUCAGCAGGGAAGAUAGUGACGGUACCUGACGAAGAAGCUCCGGCUAAAUACGUG
rnacentral:rRNA from 1 species